UAAAAAGUAAGCUAAUUGAAGCUAAUGAGUUCAUACCUCAUUUAUGAUUAAUAAUCCUUUUUAA
rnacentral:tRNA from 1 species